rnacentral:rRNA from 1 species
ACUCCCCAGGCGGAGUGCUUAAUGCGUUAGCUGCAGCACUAAGGGGCGGAACCCCCCUAACACUUAGCACUCAUCGUUUACGGCGUGGACUACCAGGGUAUCUAAUCCUGUUUGAUCCCCACGCUUUCGCACAUCAGCGUCAGUUACAGACCAGAAAGUCGCCUUCGCCACUGGUGUUCCUCCAUAUCUCUGCGCAUUUCACCGCUACACAUGGAAUUCCACUUUCCUCUUCUGCACUCAAGUUUUCCAGUUUCCAAUGACCCUCCACGGUUGAGCCGUGGGCUUUCACAUCAGACUUAAAAAACCGCCUACGCGCGCUUUACGCCCAAUAAUUCCGGAUAACGCUUGCCACCUACGUAUUACCGCGGCUGCUGGCACGUAGUUAGCCGUGGCUUUCUGAUUAGGUACCGUCAAGAUGUGCACAGUUACUUACACAUAUGUUCUUCCCUAAUAACAGAGUUUUACGAUCCGAAGACCUUCAUCACUCACGCGGCGUUGCUCCGUCAGGCUUUCGCCCAUUGCGGAAGAUUCCCUACUGCUGCCUCCCGUAGGAGUCUGGACCGUGUCUCAGUUCCAGUGUGGCCGAUCACCCUCUCAGGUCGGCUAUGCAUCGUUGCCUUGGUAAGCCGUUACCUUACCAACUAGCUAAUGCAGCGCGGAUCCAUCUAUAAGUGACAGCAAGACCGUCUUUCACUUUUGAACCAUGCGGUUCAAAAUAUUAUCCGGUAUUAGCUCCGGUUUCCCGAAGUUAUCCCAGUCUUAUAGGUAGGUUAUCCACGUGUUACUCACCCGUCCGCCGCUAACAUCAGAGAAGCAAGCUUCUCGUCCGUUCGCUCGACUUGCAUGUAUUAGGCACGCCGCCAGCGUUCAUCCUGAGCCAGGAUCAAACCCUC